rnacentral:lncRNA from 1 species
GGGCAUUUGAUCCCAAUCUUUGUAUGUGGUCGUGCUGUUUAAUUUAAAUUGAUGUUUGGCAAUGAAUGAGAUUUUGCAAUUGGAUUUCAACUAUUGGGAACUUCUUUCAUUGUUUUCACUUUAGGGAACAAGAUAAUGUGACUCUCCCAAGGGCCCCUUUAUCUCAAAUCAUCUUCCAACCAUCAAAGCUCAAUGUAAUAUUUUCA